GUCAUUACAUAUUACUAGACGUCAUUGGUGGAUCGUGAGAACUCACUAAGAUCAUUUUCAGAUCAAUGAUCCUUAUUGAGGUGAGUUGGAAUCAUUCUAGCCCAUCGAAAAGAGUUUCGAUGAUAUUGUGAUGGAGAUCAUGGUAUGUCUCACUACCAAACAGAAUAGAACCUGAGAGAUCACAUACAAAAGGAGCAUGACC
rnacentral:lncRNA from 1 species